ACCAGGCAUGGUGGUGCAUGCCUGUGGUCCCAUCUACUCAGGAGGCUGAGGUGUGAGGAUCCCUUGCGCCCAGGAGUUCAAGGCUGCAGUGAGCUAUGAUCAUGCCAAUGCACUCCAGCCUGGGCUAUAAAGUGAGAUCCCAUCUCUU
rfam:Nomascus leucogenys chromosome 10, whole genome shotgun sequence.